rnacentral:rRNA from 1 species
UACGGAGAAAAGAAACCAACAGGGAUUGCCCUAGUAACGGCGAGUGAAGCGGCAACAGCUCAAAUUUGAAAUCUGGCCCCCUCGGGGUCCGAGUUGUAAUUUGCAGAGGGAGCUUUUGGCGUCGGUCGUGGUCUAAGUUCCUUGGAACAGGACGUCACAGAGGGUGAGAAUCCCGUACGUGGCCGCCGGCCUUCGCCUUGUAAAGCCCCUUCGACGAGUCGAGUUGUUUGGGAAUGCAGCUCUAAAUGGGAGGUAAAUUUCUUCUAAAGCUAAAUACCCGCCAGAGACCGAUAGCGCACAAGUAGAGUGAUCGAAAGAUGAAAAGCACUUUGGAAAGAGAGUGAAAAAGCACGUGAAAUUGUUGAAAGGGAAGCGCUUGCGGCCAGACUUGCCCGCGGUUGAUCAUCCAGGCUCCGGCCUGGUGCACUCCUCCGCGGGCAGGCCAGCAUCAGUUUGGGCGGUCGGAUAAAGGCCUCUAUCACGUACCACCCCUCGGGGUGGCCUUAUAGGGGAGGCGCAACACGGCCAGCCCGGACUGAGGUUCCGCGCAUCUGCUAGGAUGCUGGCGUAAUGGCAGCAAGCGGCCCGUCUUGAAACACGGACCAAGGAGUCUAACAUCUAUGCGAGUGUUUGGGUGUCAAGCCCGAGCGCGCAAUGAAAGUGAACGGAGGUGGGAACCCUUACCGGUGCACCAUCGACCGAUCCUGAUGUCUUCGGAUGGAUUUGAGUAAGAGCAUAGCUGUUGGGACCCGAAAGAUGGUGAACUAUGCCUGAAUAGGGUGAAGCCAGAGGAAACUCUGGUGGAGGCUCGCAGCGGUUCUGACGUGCAAAUCGAUCGUCAAAUUUGGGCAUAGGGGCGAAAGACUAAUC